rnacentral:rRNA from 1 species
GACGUAGGGCGCGAGCGUUGUCCGGAUUUAUUGGGCGUAAAGAGCUCGUAGGCGGCUCGUUGCGUCAACCGUGAAAACCCGGGGCUUAACUUCGGGCUUGCGGUUGAUACGGGCGGGCUGGAGUUCGGUAGGGGAGACUGGAAUUUACGGUGUAGCGGUGAAAUGCGUAGAUAUCGUAAGGAAGACCAGUGGCGAAGGCGGGUCUCUGGACAGUUCCUGACGCUGAGGCACGAAGGUCAGGGGAGCAAACGGG